rnacentral:rRNA from 1 species
UACGAAGGGGGCUAGCGUUGCUCGGAAUCACUGGGCGUAAAGCGCACGUAGGCGGCUUGCUAAGUCAGGGGUGAAAUCCUGGAGCUCAACUCCAGAACUGCCUUUGAUACUGGCGGUCUCGAGUCCGGGAGAGGUGAGUGGAACUGCGAGUGUAGAGGUGAAAUUCGUAGAUAUUCGCAAGAACACCAGUGGCGAAGGCGGCUCACUGGCCCGGUACUGACGCUGAGGUGCGAAAGCGUGGGGAGCAAACAGG